rnacentral:piRNA from 1 species
UGACUGGGUGACCUGGUGAAUGAGCUC